AUAAUAAAUGAUAAAACGACCACGAAACGUUAUGAAGUUGUUAACAUUGGAGCUGCUCAUACUUUUAGUGAUCAAUGUAAAUACAAUAUCGGGUAAGUGCUUCUUUGAUAUGUUUAGUACCAAACCAAUCAGAUGUUUCAGUGUUUUAUGGUAAUUAUGGUAAUGUUCUCUGCAUAGCACCAACAUGUCGUCAUUUACCUGAAAAGUUUACCAAACCUGUUAACCGAAUUAUGUGCGAGAAAUACAUUAAGAUACUGUUGUAUAUAUUGUCUUUGCCUCGGAAAUAAACACACUAGGAGUACUUUUUAAAUUGAUGUUAAUCUCAUUCAUUCUUCUUAGUUUCUUCUAUAAUAUUUUCGUACUUCGGGCUACAUGUACAAUUUCUUUCAAACUGAAUGUUACUGUACAUAAUGGAAUGUUUUUUCUUCUAUGUUGUCCAAAUUGAACCGAACCGACUGGUAAUAGCGAUAUGUCCCUCUUUCAUGUUUAAAACAAGACAACGUUUUGUCCUAUAUCACAGCUUAUUUUCCCCUUAAACGAAAAGGGUUUUCUGAUCAUACAAUUGGUAUUCAGUUGUACUUAGUUGCUUUAUUAUCUGAAUAUUUUCAAAUAUGGGGAAGAUAAUAUUAGAAAAUCUACUUUCUUAACUGUUUCAGCCUUAAAAUUUCAUGCAUUUUAUAUAGUUAUAUGUACAUGAUGUAAUAGGUAAAACGUUAAUGCACCUGAUAACAUGUAUAUUCGAUUUUUAUUGAUAAUCUUAAUAAAAGGAAAAAAAGACACUUGUCAUUAUAGAAUAUCAUAAUACUGCAUGCGCUGGAUAUGUGUAUUCGUUUCUGUUUAUCUAUAUCUACUACAAAUCACAAAUGGGAAUUAUAAAAGAUAGAACACUUUAAACGAAUAAAUAACAACUGUCAUACUCCUGACUUUAUGCAGGCAUUUUCAUAUGUGGAACAUUGUGAGUUGAACCUGGUUUUAUAGCUAUGUAAACUUCUCACUUGUAUGACAGUUGCAUAAAUUUCCAUUAUUGACAACGAUGUGUGAACAAAACAAACAGACAUGCUGGAUUCAAAUAUCAAAAUUUGGGUACAGCAGUCACUGUUGUGUUAUACUCCUUCUAACUUCAAAACAAAGAAAUAUGUUACAAACAAACACAGGAAGGCAUAUAGAAAAAGCACAUAACAAAAUUGAAAGACAAGAAUUAAAAAAAACCUUACCAUAACACGAAAUCACUACGACGGCAUGUAUAAACUGGAAAAAUAUUCUCAGCUUGCUAACUGUGAACUUACUGCUGUAAUAUUUUGUCCUUUUUUGCAUUGAAAUCUUUUAUUGAUAUUAAGAUUUUGAUUUUUUCUUGCAAAUUAACCGAAUAAAAUUGAUAAAUCUAUAAAGUUUAGAGAUUUCACAAAUGUUUUGUACAGAAACAUUACAUUAUAUAAUAUAUCUGAGGUUGAUGGUAUCACGUUAUAUGUCAUAUAGAGAUUUGAUUAGACCUUUGUAACUGUGACUGAUACCACUGACAUGACGUCAUACAUAUUAGAAGUUUGGUAAACCCUUUUGAGCAAUCAGUUUUAUCAAUAUCCCAUCAAUUGUUUCUCAUAUGUAAUCUGCUGAGUCAGAAGUAUAUAUAUAUUGAACAUACAAAUGUACCACAUGUAUAACUAUUUAUUGUUUUGAAGUUUGAAAAAUAUAUCUUUCACAGGAAUUGUUAAUAGUAGUUGUACUUUCGAAAGUGGCCAGUGCGGUUGGUCGGUCAAUGGUUUGAAUAGAUACAAGUGGAAACGUCAACGUGGAAACGCCCGUCAUUCAUCUACAGGACCAGACAAAGAUCACAC
rnacentral:lncRNA from 1 species